AGAGUUGAUCCUGGCUCAGGAUGAACGCUAGCGGCAGGCUUAACACAUGCAAGUCGAGGGGCAACGCGAGUAGCAAUACUUGGCGGCGACCGGCGCAAGGGUGCGUAACGCGUGAGCAACAUGCCCGUAUCAGGGGGAUAAUCCAGGGAAACUUGGUCUAAUACCCCAUAGUAAUUUUGUAAGGCAUCUUAUAAGAUUUAAAGCUUUGGUGGAUACGGAUUGGCUCGCGUGACAUUAGCUGGAUGGUAAGGUAACGGCUUACCAUGGCUAUGAUGUCUAGGGGUUCUGAGAGGAAGGUCCCCACACUGGAACUGAGACACGGUCCAGACUCCUACGGGAGGCAGCAGUGAGGAAUAUUGGACAAUGGAUGGAAAUCUGAUCCAGCCAUGCCGCGUAGAAGGAAGAAGGUCCUAUGGAUUGUAAACUUCUUUUGUAUGGGAGCAAUAAGGCCUACGUGUAGGUCGAUGAGAGUACCAUACGAAUAAGCACCGGCUAACUCCGUGCCAGCAGCCGC
rnacentral:rRNA from 1 species